AGCGGCGAACGGGUGAGUAACACGUGGGUGAUCUGCCCUGCACUUCGGGAUAAGCCUGGGAAACUGGGUCUAAUACCGGAUAUGACCUCCUAUCGCAUGGUGGGUGGUGGAAAGAUUUAUCGGUGCAGGAUGGGCCCGCGGCCUAUCAGCUUGUUGGUGGGGUAAUGGCCUACCAAGGCGACGACGGGUAGCCGACCUGAGAGGGUGACCGGCCACACUGGGACUGAGACACGGCCCAGACUCCUACGGGAGGCAGCAGUGGGGAAUAUUGCACAAUGGGCGAAAGCCUGAUGCAGCGACGCCGCGUGAGGGAUGACGGCCUUCGGGUUGUAAACCUCUUUCAGCAGGGACGAAGCGCAAGUGACGGUACCUGCAGAAGAAGCACCGGCUAACUACGUGCCAGCAGCCGCGGUAAUACGUAGGGUGCAAGCGUUGUCCGGAAUUACUGGGCGUAAAGAGUUCGUAGGCGGUUUGUCGCGUCGUUUGUGAAAACCAGCAGCUCAACUGCUGGCUUGCAGGCGAUACGGGCAGACUUGAGUACUGCAGGGGAGACUGGAAUUCCUGGUGUAGCGGUGAAAUGCGCAGAUAUCAGGAGGAACACCGGUGGCGAAGGCGGGUCUCUGGGCAGUAACUGACGCUGAGGAACGAAAGCGUGGGUAGCGAACAGGAUUAGAUACCCUGGUAGUCCACGCCGUAAACGGUGGGCGCUAGGUGUGGGUUCCUUCCACGGAAUCCGUGCCGUAGCUAACGCAUUAAGCGCCC
rnacentral:rRNA from 1 species